GAGACGAAACAAGUGAUGUGGNGUAAAACUUAUAAAAGCGACCUCAGUUCGGAUUGAAGGCUGAAAUUCGCCUUCAUGAAGUCGGAAUUGCUAGUAAUGGCAGGUCAGCAUACUGCCGUGAAUACGUUCCCGGGCCUUGUACACACCGCCCGUCACACCAUGAGAGUUGGAGAUACCCGAAGCCUAUGAGCUAACUUUUAGAGGCAGUAGUCGAAGGUAGAAUCAAUGAUUGGGGUGAAGUCGUAACAAGGUAGC
rnacentral:rRNA from 1 species